CAGUAGCUGGUCUGAGAGGACGAUCAGCCACACUGGGACUGAGACACGGCCCAGACUCCUACGGGAGGCAGCAGUGGGGAAUUUUGGACAAUGGGCGAAAGCCUGAUCCAGCCAUUCCGCGUGAGUGAAGAAGGCCUUCGGGUUGUAAAGCUCUUUCGGCAGGAACGAAACGGCCGUUUCUAAUAAAGACGGCUAAUGACGGUACCUGAAGAAGAAGCACCGGCUAACUACGUGCCAGCAGCCGCGGUAAUACGUAGGGGUGCGAGCGUUAAUCGGAAUUACUGGGCGUAAAGCGUGCGCAGGUGGUUGUUUAAGACAGAUGUGAAAUCCCCGGGCUUAACCUGGGAACUGCGUUUGUGACUGGACAGCUAGAGUGCGGCAGAGGGGGGUGGAAUUCCACGUGUAGCAGUGAAAUGCGUAGAGAUGUGGAGGAACACCGAUGGCGAAGGC
rnacentral:rRNA from 1 species